GAGGGUGUAGUUCAGUGGUAGAGUGCAUGCUUUGCAUGUUUGAGGUCCUGGAUUCAAUUCUCAGUACUCUUC
rnacentral:tRNA from 1 species